rfam:Brassica napus, WGS project CCCW01000000 data, contig: 13267
UUGAUGCCUGUGAUGGUGUAAAAUAUACUUUGAGAGAUUAAUCUCUAGGAAAAAUAAAUCCAGUCUGGCAUUUU